rnacentral:rRNA from 1 species
AACGCUGGCGGCGUGCCUAACACAUGCAAGUCGAACGAAGCAUUAAAGUGAAUCCCUUCGGGGUGAAGCUUUUAUGACUUAGUGGCGGACGGGUGAGUAACGCGUGAGUAACCUGCCUUUCAGAGGGGGAUAACAGUUGGAAACGACUGCUAAUACCGCAUAACGUAUCGGAACCGCAUGAUUCUGAUACCAAAGCUGAGGCGCUGAAAGAUGGGGAUGCGUCUGAUUAGGUUGUAGGCGGGGUAACGGCCCACCUAGCCGACGAUCAGUAGGGGUUCUGAGAGGAAGGUCCCCCACACUGGAACUGAGACACGGUCCAGACUCCUACGGGAGGCAGCAGUGAGGAAUAUUGGGCAAUGGGCGAAAGCCUGACCCAGCGACGCCGCGUGAGGGAAGAAGAUCUUCGGAUUGUAAACCUUAGUCAACAGGGAAGAAGAAAGUGACGGUACCUGUGGAGGAAGCCACGGCUAACUACGUG